AAAACCUCAGUCUCUGAUUUAUCAUUGAUUGGUCUUGCUUCGGAUGCCCAUGGCGUCCCCUGCGAAAUCCAAUGGCGAAGAGCCACGCAGCCAAAGCGUAGUAUAAUCAACCUCGUAAUGGAUGUGUGUGUGCUUCUGCCGUAACCCCCAAAUUCUUAGU
rnacentral:misc_RNA from 1 species